ensembl:lncRNA
AUGAACGAUGAACGAAGCUUUUACGGGUUUGGAACGAAAUGGGGCGGUCUGCUGAGACGACGGUGAGAUGUUGGAUGGAGACUGGAGCUCUUCGUCCCCGUCCGGGAAGUUCACAAACCCACAGUGAGCUCUGUGUGACAAGCCUCCAUGACACCCAGUUUCACAACUGAAGCUCUCUGCCUGAGGGAGCGUCUACUUCCACCUGCCCAAAUGCUGGGUUAUCAUUCUGAUCCCCCUGUUCUCCACUAAACUCCGUCACCAGACCAUCCCCUGCCCACCAUCACCAUACUCACCAUAUAAAGCCGAAGAAAGUUGUUCAACUCCUCUGUGCUCCGUGCA